rnacentral:rRNA from 1 species
UACAGAGGGUGCGAGCGUUAAUCGGAAUUACUGGGCGUAAAGCGUGCGUAGACGGCUAUCUAAGUCGGGUGUGAAAGCCCCGGGCUCAACCUGGGAAUUGCAUUCGAGACUGAAUAGCUAGGGUACGGUAGAGGGAAGUGGAAUUUCCGGUGUAGCGGUGAAAUGCGUAGAUAUCGGAAGGAACAUCAGUGGCGAAAGCGACUUCCUGGACCAGUACCGACGUUCAGGCACGAAAGCGUGGGGAGCAAAAGGG